rnacentral:rRNA from 1 species
GUGGGGAAUAUUGGACAAUGGGGGAAACCCUGAUCCAGCCAUGCCGCGUGUGUGAAGAAGGCCUUCGGGUUGUAAAGCACUUUAAGCAGGGAGGAAAGGGUGUUGGCUAAUAUCCAGCAUCAUUGACGUUACCUGCAGAAUAAGCACCGGCUAACUUCGUGCCAGCAGCCGCGGUAAUACGAAGGGUGCAAGCGUUAAUCGGAAUUACUGGGCGUAAAGCGCGCGUAGGUGGUUUUGUAAGUUGGAGGUGAAAUCCCCGGGCUCAACCUGGGAACUGCCUCCAAAACUGCAUGACUAGAGUACGGUAGAGGGUAGUGGAAUUUCCUGUAUAGCGGUGAAAUGCGUAGAUAUAGGAAGGAACACCACUGGCGAAGGCGACUACCUGGACUGAUACUGACACUGAGGUGCGAAAGCGUGGGGAGCAAACAGGAUUAGAUACCCCAGUAGUCC